ACAGUGAGAACCUCGUGGCUAUUGCAAUGGGUAGAGAGACCCCAGCAGGCACAGGUGGGGCCACCGCACUACAGGAACUGUGAAAGAGACCUGCCCUUCCUCUUUGCCCAGCACUGCUCACAAAAUGGGAAGAUGGCCCAGCUCCUCCCCUGGGAAAAGAGUGUCCGGCUGCACGGUGUCAUUUGCCUUCCAAGCUGGUCUCAUCAGUGGCUCUCUGAGUCCUAAUUGGAACUCUUUGUCCCUGCUGCUCAGUGGCCAGGCCCCCAUGACCUCAAUUAGGAAAGACGUGCUUCCCUUCGUGGACCUGACUCUCCACUUUGCAGGCAGAAGCAGGGGCGGGACCGGGGCCAGGCUGCCCACAACUGUCUCUCUGAACUUCAGAGGGUGUGGUCUGGACAAGAGCUCACAGUUCAGUGUCAAGGAACUGCUGAAGUCCUCAUUCCUUUGGCCAGAGGUUCAGAGAAGCCACUCAGGAGAUAACUGUUAGCGCUGGGGGUGUGGCUCAGCAGGCAGAGUGCUUGCCUGGUAUGCACGAAGCCCUGGGUUUGAUUCCAGAUGCACACACACUCCGGAGGUGGAGGCAGGAGGAUCAGUUCAAGACCCGUCUCAGAAAGACACCCAAAAAUGUCAGUGUUAAGAGAGGGAGCACAAAGAAAUCUCAAGAGGGCCAUAUGGAGAAGGCACUGCUCCAUGCUGCGAGUCCCAGACUGUGGUCAGCCUAGAGGCUCAGGCACAGGCCCAGGCUCCCUCCUGGCUCCUUCUCACACCCUGAAUCAAGGCUAUGCAAGGAGUUAGUCAGAAGUUCCCCAGCUUUGGCUCUGGGUUGCAAAGUCCAGGCUCCUCCGAGCUCCAGUUCCCACCCUGACCCCAGGGCCAUACAUUUAUGCACCUGGGAAAGAGGCCACAUCAGGAUUUGUCUGACUCACGUUACGGUAACAGGAUGCAUUGUGUGGGACUCUGGACUAGGAAACAGCAGGUGUGGACCAGUCUCUGAAUGUUUCCUGUCUCAUGAUGGCUAUCAGUAUCCAUGUGCGUGUGCCACAGGCCAAAGACAUUUCCCGCCGGGCCACAUCUCCCAAUCACUGGUGGAGCUGGAGAGGAGAAGCUGAAGGAGGAGGAGUGGCCUCAGGCCUGAAUGCUCAGGAAGGGUCCCGAGAGCCUCGAUGCCCACAGCCUUGCUCCAAGGAGGUCCAUGCUGGCUCAGUCAAAGGAGGCUCCCCCUAACCAGGACAAUGCUUGGCACACCGAUACGUUUGAGCCAGGAGUUUGCUACAGGUAGUGGAAGGAGGACCAGGAGCCCAAGGUCAUCUUCAGCUUUGUAGUGAGAUUGAGGCUGGUUUGAGGGUAUAUAAGAUUCUGUGUCAAAGAAAAAAGGAAGAAG
rnacentral:lncRNA from 1 species